GACUUCUUCCCGCGGGCAACGCGCAGGUUGUCGAUCUCCC
rnacentral:sRNA from 1 species